CCUACGGGAGGCAGCAGUGGGGAAUAUUGGACAAUGGGGGCGAACCCUGAUCCAGCAAUGCCGCGUGAGUGAUGAAGGCCUUCGGGUUGUAAAGCUCUUUUA
rnacentral:rRNA from 1 species